GCCCCCAUAGCUCAAUCGGUAGAGCAACGGCCUUUUAAGCCGGUGGUUGGAGGUUCGAGUCCUCCUGGGGGCA
rnacentral:tRNA from 1 species